AUACGGAGGAUCCGAGCGUUAUUCGGAUUUAUUGGGUUUAAAGGGUGCGCAGGCGGCCAUUUAAGUCAGCGGUUAAAUCGUGGGGCUCAACCCCAUUCUGCCGUUGAUACUGGGUGGCUUGAUUGCGGUCGAGGUUGGCGGAAUUCGUUGUGUAGCGGUGAAAUGCAUAGAUAUGACGAAGAACACCGAUUGCGUAGGCAGCUGACCAGACCGCAAAUGACGCUCAUGCACGAAAGUGCGGGGAUCGAACAGGAUUAGAUACCCUGGUAGUCCGCACAGUAAACGAUGAAUACUUGUUUUCGGCGAUAUAAUGUCGGAGGCAAAGCGAAAGCGAUAAGUAUUCCACCUGGGGAGUACGCCGGCAACGGUGAAACUCAAAGGAAUUGGCGGGG
rnacentral:rRNA from 1 species